rnacentral:rRNA from 1 species
GACGGAGGGUGCUAGCGUUGUUCGGAAUGACUGGGCGUAAAGGGCGCGUAGGCGGCCGACCCAGUCGGGUGUGAAAGCCCGGGGCUCAACCCCGGAACGGCACCCGAUACUGGUUGGCUGGAGACCGAGAGAGGUGAGUGGAAUACCCAGUGUAGAGGUGAAAUUCGUAGAUAUUGGGUGGAACACCAGUGGCGAAGGCGGCCGACUGGUCCGGUUCUGACGCUGAGGCGCGAAAGCGUGGGGAGCAAACAGG